CUGUAAAGAGAAGCCAUUUGUAGCCAAACGAUGUCUCUGCAUAGUUCGCAAUAAGCAGCCGCUGCGUCUAAAUACGUCUAAGCUUUACAUGAUUUCACAGCAGCUCUUGUUGUUUGUGUCUCCAGCCAUCCAGCUCACACACACGGAGCGGAUGCGCCGAUGGUGUGGCCAUCACUGCUGGGAUAUAAAGCCGGCGGCCAUGAAGCGACUGUCACUUCUCCUCAGCCAGAGCCAGCGUUGGCCCAGCUUUCUGCAUGUGUGUUUUUAGUGCCUGUGAGCGCGGCGCUUAUGUGUGAGGGGGAAGGAAGGAAGGAAGGAAGGAAGGAAGGAAGGAAGGAAGGAAGGAAGGAAGGAAGGAAGGAAGGAAGGAAGGAAGGAAGAACUUCUCUGAUCGCAAACGUGCGGGCGCCUUGUUUUUCUCCAGCGACUGCUGAUCAGCUCAUUCAUCUGUGUGGAUUUGUAUAAGCUGUGCAGCAUUAACACCGUGGACACGACCUGUGUGGUAAAACAGGCUGGUUCAAUUCUCAUUCGAGUCACGUGGUCUGCUGGGAACGGUGUGUCAUGUGACCAGCGUUGGAUGGGACCUAAUGUCACCCACCGGACCCACACAUCAUGUGGACGCCGUCGCCGUGAUGUGACCUAAACUGCCUUAAUGCUCCUGAACUCUGUGGCUCUGGAGCCGACCUUUCACCUUUGACCUUGGCCAGCCUCCUGGGGGAGCGCGAUGCUCAGUGAUGGAUGUGCAGCGCGCACGCACCCGCGCGUGAACGCGGUCGCGGCGACACGCGGCGGCCGCAUGCAUGCGGAGACGUGUACUCACCACACAUUGCACCAGGGGGGCAGCCAGAAACUCCUUCCCGUCUUCUCUUUAUCCGAGCAUGUUGUCAGCCUCUUCUUCUCCUCUGUCCUGCUGGCUUCCUCCUCCUGCCCCUCCUCCUCCUCCCCCUCCCUGUCCCCCCGCUCACCACCGCUGUUCAGGUCCAGCUCUGUCGCUGGUGGGGAGAAUCCAGGCGACGCACGCACACGCACACACGCGAGCGCACGCGGCUCCGGUGGUGGUGGUGGUGGUGGUGGAGGGGGGGCGGCGCUCGGAUAACGCGCUCGGACGCAGCUGGGUCCGAAGAUCGGCGCACGCGCGCAGCUGGUCUAUGCGCAGCUGGACGGAGACGGAGGCAUCGCGUCGUCGUGUGCUGAUGGCGCGGCGCGGCGCGCGGAGGGAGGGAGGGAGGGAGCGGUGGUUCAGCCUCUACCUUGGUGCCUUCGUGACAUUCGGAGCCAUCGUGACUUCAUUCAAUCAACGCACGCAUCCUGCCUCCAAUUAA
rnacentral:lncRNA from 1 species